rnacentral:rRNA from 1 species
UUCCAGACUCCUACGGGAGGCAGCAGUGGGGAAUAUUGCACAAUGGGGGAAACCCUGAUGCAGCGACGCCGCGUGAGCGAUGAAGUAUUUCGGUAUGUAAAGCUCUCUCAGCAGGGAAGAAGAUGACGGUACCUGACUAAGAAGCCCCGGCUAACUACGUGCCAGCAGCCGCGGUAAUACGUAGGGGGCAAGCGUUAUCCGGAUUUACUGGGUGUAAAGGGAGCGUAGACGGCGAUGCAAGCCAGAUGUGAAAGCCCGGGGCUCAACCCCGGGACUGCAUUUGGAACUGUGUGGCUGGAGUGUCGGAGAGGCAGGCGGAAUUCCUAGUGUAGCGGUGAAAUGCGUAGAUAUUAGGAGGAACACCAGUGGCGAAGGCGGCCUGCUGGACGAUGACUGACGUUGAGGCUCGAAAGCGUGGGGAGCAAACAGGAUUAGAUACCCGUGUA